GGGCCGUAGCUCAGUGGAAGAGCAUCCGCCCUGGAAGCAGAAGGUCUCAGGUUCAAUCCCCGGGAUCUCCA